CCUACGGGAGGCAGCAGUCGAGAAUCAUUCACAAUGGGGGAAACCCUGAUGGUGCGACGCCGCGUGGGGGAAUGAAGGUCUUCGGAUUGUAAACCCCUGUCAUGUGGGAGCAAAUUAAAAAGAUAGUACCACAAGAGGAAGAGACGGCUAACUCUGUGCCAGCAGCCGCGGUCAUACAGAGGUCUCAAGCGUUGUUCGGAAUCACUGGGCGUAAAGCGUGCGUAGGCUGUUUCGUAAGUCGUGUGUGAAAGGCGCGGGCUCAACCCGCGGACGGCACAUGAUACUGCGAGACUAGAGUAAUGGAGGGGGAACCGGAAUUCUCGGUGUAGCAGUGAAAUGCGUAGAUAUCGAGAGGAACACUCGUGGCGAAGGCGGGUUCCUGGACAUUAACUGACGCUGAGGCACGAAGGCCAGGGGAGCGAAAGGGAUUAGAUACCCGAGUAGUC
rnacentral:rRNA from 1 species